UCGUCAGAAGAAAGGACCGGACUGGGGACUCCAGGGAGAGGGAGCAGGCGAGUGGGCGGUCAGAUUUUGGAGGCUGGAGACAGAGGCACAGAUAAAUGAAGAGGAGUUAUGUUUCCUAUGAACAAGAUUUCAGUGCUGAAGUUAAGAGAUUCACAUCUAAACAAAUAUGCCUUGAAACUUUCAUAAUCACGGCCUUGGUGUUUGGAUGAACGGGACUGAAGCUGAUCAACAGCAAUAGAAGAAAAAUGGCUUGAUAAGCAAAUCCACAGCCUGCACUGCACCUGAUUGUAUUUCCACCCAACUUUCCAGCUAUGGCUACCGAUCCGUUACCUGCCCAUUUUGCACCACUGCCGUUCAUCAGUUUCACCCUGUAUUAAAUUUGCACUUAAUCAAAUUUUUACACUUAAUUAAAUUCAUUCAGAUUUAGAUUCUAGCACGGAUGAAAUAGGUUGUCCAAGUUUAAUAACAGCAAGAUUAAGAUAAAGCAAUCCCUUCGGCUAUAUGACAGUGAUGUGGCCAACUGAAGCCAUGCCAAGGUGUGAUUACAUUUCAUGAUUCAGGUUAUUUUCUGAAAUGAAUGUUAACCUCUAACAGUUUAAUAUUUGCAUUUAUUCUUGUGUCCUAAUAGUCCUGGGUUUUCAUGAUAUACACUGUUAAAUGUUUCUCAGCAUUUUCCACUCUGAACCUAUAGUUUCUAAUAAUACAACAGUUCCUUUCAAUAAUAGAUUUUGGGAGAAAUACAAAAAGCUAUCGUUAAAGGUA